UGGUGGAACUCCGGAGUUGAAGAGAUUUGCUAUUCGAAUUCUAAGCUUGACUUGUAGUUCUUCUGGAUGUGAGCAUAAUUGGAGCUCAUUUGAAAUGGUUCAUACAAAGAGAAGGAAUUGUUUGCAU